AUUUGAUGCAAAGGGAAGAACAUUACCUGGUCUUGACAUGUCGAGAUCUUUCCAUAGAAGGAGUGGUGCAUUUGGGAACUAGAACACAGGUGCUGCAUGGCUGUCGUCAGCUCGUGUCGUGAGAUGUUGGGUUAAGUCCCGCAACGAGCGCAACCCUUGUCCUUAGUUGCCAGCACGUAAUGGUGGGACCUUUAAGGAGACCACCGGGGACCAACCGGAGGAAGGGGGGGAUGACGUCAAGUUAUCCUGGCCCUUAAGGCCAGGGCUACACACGUUCUACAAUGGUAAGGACAGAGGGGUGCAAACCCGCAAGGGCAAGCCAAUCCCAGAAACCCUAUCUCAGUCCGGAUUGGAGUCUGCAACUUGGCUCCAUGAAUUUGGAAUCGCUAGUAAUCGCAGAUCAGCSUUGCUGCGGUGAAUACGUUCCCGGGCCUUGUACACACCGCCCGUCACACCAUGGG
rnacentral:rRNA from 1 species